rnacentral:rRNA from 1 species
GGAUAGCCCAUAGAAAUGUGGAUUAACCCUUUAUAGUACAACUGGUCGGCAUCGAUUGGUUGUUAAAACUCCGGUGGUUAGGGAUGGGCGUGCGUCUGAUUAGGUAGUUGGUAGGGUAAUGGCCUACCAAGCCAACGAUCAGUAGCUGAUGUGAGAGCAUGAUCAGCCACACGGGCACUGAGACACGGGCCCGACUCCUACGGGAGGCAGCAGUAAGGAAUAUUGGUCAAUGGACGCAAGUCUGAACCAGCCAUGCCGCGUGAAGGAUGAAGGUCCUCUGGAUUGUAAACUUCUUUUAUCUGGGACGAAACACUGAUUUUCUAAUCAGCUUGACGGUACCAGAGGAAUAAGCACCGGCUAACUCCGUGCCAGCAGCCGCGGUAAUACGGAGGGUGCAAGCGUUAUCCGGAUUCACUGGGUUUAAAGGGUGCGUAGGCGGGUAAGUAAGUCCGUGGUGAAAUCCUGCAGCUUAACUGCAGAACUGCCGUGGAUACUAUUUAUCUUGAAUAUCGUGGAGGUUAGUGGAAUAGGUCAUGUAGCGGUGAAAUGCUUAGAGAUGACAUGGAACACCGAUUGCGAAGGCAGCUGGCUACACGAUAAUGACGCUGAGC